rnacentral:sRNA from 1 species
GUCAAACUUUUACAUAGGAAUAUUUAUAUUUAAGUUUUUAAAAAUCUUCUUAGAAACCAUUUGCUUAGAAAAGCUGUAACUUAAGUAGAAGCAACUUCAGAUGUAAAUAUUCAUAUACGUUAAAAUCAAAAUUUUGAGGAGUAGGGUGGGCCCCCAUUUGGGAUCCAAUUGUUCAAAGGAAAACAUUUUAAUUGCUUGCAAAAUUGGAAAUGUUACCACAAUUGGUUUUACUUAUAUGCAAGCAUUUUGACAUAUCACUUAUUCUUUAAAAUUGUUUAGACUCUGGCCCCUGGAUGAUUCUUGGGCCUCAUAGGGUGUUCAGAGUUUGAUGAAGGGUUAUAUCCCAUAUAUAAACAAUUGUUUAAGAUCUUUUUUUAGAACUGCAGUGUUCAACAUGUGAUAUGUCACAUAAAAUCAUCCUGCUAGAAAAGGGACUUGAUUAUAAACAUAAGGAUAUUCAGGGGGAAAAUGAAUUUUUUUUAUACAGGAUCGAAAUGUAUUACACCUGAUUGUCAAAAUAUUUUGAUUUUGUCUCCAUUAAGCUGAUUUUAUCAUGCCUAUUGUUGCUCAGGUGAGCGAUGUGGCCCAUGGGCCUAGUUGAAAGAAGAUGGUUUUAUGUAUAAUUGUAAAUAGAAAAGAAAUAUAAUAUUGUUAAAAGCUUUUUAUUUUGUUUAAUGCAAAUGUAGCAGAAUUUUCUUUCAUAUGCAAUAAUAUUUUGAAUAAAUAACUCUAUGAAAUCAUAGUUUGUUAUAUCACUCAAUAUGUAAAACAUAUUUGUACCUGUACUUAAUAACGUGCAACACAAAACUAACUUUUAAUGGAAAUUAUUGAAUGUUGCCCUUGUCCAAAUUUUGGUCAUUUUUAAUCAUAUAUUUCAUCUUUUGUAUACACUACAUAUAAAAAUUUAUUAUUAAAGCUAUGUUGUGUU